CCAACUCAUCCAUUACCGCUGGCGCCACCGUGCCCACCCUAGCUUUGCCUCUGCCUAACGCCGCCGCCUCCCAGCGUGCACCUUCCUCAGCGCCGCCGGCCGUGUCCUCCAUUAGCGCCACCGCCCCUCGACGGUCGCCUGCUCCACCGCCUUCACCUUCCAACUCGACCUUGCUGGCCACGCAACAGCUUCUAAAGCCACCCCUUCCAGUGGAGCCACCGCCACCGCCGCCGCCGCCGCCUUGCCCUUACGGUGGCCACCUAUUCGCCGGAAUAAUUAGUGGUGAGAAUGGGACACUCAAUCGCGUCUUCCAGUAUGUCUGCCCUUCGAUCUGGCGCACGGUGAGCCCGGGACGAACCUAGCUUCAUGGCUCCCCUUGCCUGCCGGGGUUCCUCCACCUUGCUACUCCGAUGAGUUGUGUUCGGCCUCAGCUCCAUUCCGGGCCGCCCUACCGGGUGUUGGCCAUAGUGAUGAUAAAGUUCUUGUCUUUGUUCUUGCUGCUACGAGUAUGCCAUAUGCUCUGGAUCAGGCUGUGCGGCAACAGUUUGACAAGCGUAUCCUACAUUCCUUUACCUGACUCUGAAAGCAAGGCAGCAUAUGUUUAAGGUACUCAAGGAACAUAUGUGCAACACUACUUGAAAGAAGUUCUGUUCAGAAAGGUUGUCACAAUCUUCGGAAUCCACUCAGGUCCAUCUUUGGGGAUACAGCACACAGCUCAUCGGAAAGUGAUUUUGAGGUCUUGGGCCAUGGGACAGAUGGAUUUUCUGGUUCCGGCAUUGCUCUCUGUAACAGCACAAGUAGUUUCCGCACAAUCCUGAGUUGUGUCUGUACAAUGUGACAUGUUUCUAGUUCUUGCUAUUUGUUAACAGGUGAAAGAUAUCUUGUUUGAGCCCGUGCGUAAGACAUGGGAUGUAAUGUUCUUUUAGACUGAUGGUGGCACUGUCCAGACUACGAUCCAGGAGCUUGCAUCCAAAGGCACCUGAUCGCUUCACAGAUUCUUUCACCCCUGAUCCCAGUGACUGAUGUCAAGAAAGUCCUCGCUGGCAGAUGCCGACCGUUGGCAAGACGGACCUGGAAGUACACGAGAAGCUCAAGAAACAGUUCAGUGAAGAGGGUUGAUUUGCUGCCAGUACUCUCUGAAGUCUCAAUCCAACAAGUGUAUUAAAGAGUAAGGAUUCUUAAGGUGGGGAGUCCUUGUGCUGUAGCUUCAUAGUAAUUGUUUUCAGUCUCUCUGGCAUCUAAAAUUACUUUUUACUCUUUUCGACGGCGUGUGCCACAUGAGUUUUGUGCCGGGCUACCUGCAACGAUACCUGAAUCAUGUAAGACAGCUGAAUUAUACUUUGUCCUGUGGAUUCAGUGGUACCUCCUGUAAACUUUUAUGAA